GUAUUGACAUUGGGAAGGCAUUGAAAUUGACGAGGCAUUGAAAUUGACAAGCAUUCACUUUGAUCCACACUUAACUCUAUUAAACAAUGCAACCUCCUCCCCACCUUCAGAAGGAUCUAUCACAGUUGUUCCUCAAAAAGACAGCCAGCAUCAUCAAAGACCCACACCAUCCUGGCCACACACUCACCUCUCCGUUGCCAUCGGGAAGAAGGUACAGGAGCUUG